GACGAACGCUGGCGGCGUGCUUAACACAUGCGAGUCGAACGGAAAGGCCCUGCUUUUGUGGGGUGCUCGAGUGGCGAACGGGUGAGUAACACGUGAGUAACCUGCCCUUGACUUUGGGAUAACUUCAGGAAACUGGGGCUAAUACCGGAUAGGAGCUUCUGCUGCAUGGUGGGGGUUGGAAAGUUUCGGCGGUUGGGGAUGGACUCGCGGCUUAUCAGCUUGUUGGUGGGGCAGUGGCUUACCAAGGCUUUGACGGGUAGCCGGCCUGAGAAGGUGACCGGCCUACUCGGCGCUCAGCCAAGCCCCAGCAUACUAAAAGACAGAGCAGUGGCGAAUAGCGUGAUACGGGCAGACGUCUGAUGAUGCAACGCAGGGAGUGGGAUGUCGGAAUGAGUAUUGAAGACACAUUUCGCAUUAGAAGAUGCAAGAGUGACGAUACUCGCAAAAUCAGCAGAGGGUAACUACGGG
rnacentral:rRNA from 1 species